rnacentral:pre_miRNA from 1 species
AGUGAGAUUGCUGGAUUAUAUGGUAAGAGUAUGUUUAGUUUUGUAAGAAACUAUCAAACUGCCUUCCAAAGUGGCUGUACCAUUUUGCAUUCCCACCAGCAAU